GCCAGAUAUACGGUAUAGACACUUCGGGUGAAGACUUCGAAUCAGUAGGUUGCGCGUUCGAAUCGCGCCGGGGGCG
rnacentral:tRNA from 1 species